rnacentral:rRNA from 1 species
UACAGAGGGGGCAAGCGUUGUUCGGAAUUACUGGGCGUAAAGGGCGCGUAGGCGGCCUGUUAAGUCGAACGUGAAAUCCCCGGGCUCAACCCGGGAACUGCGUCCGAUACUGGCAGGCUUGAAUCCGGGAGAGGGAUGCGGAAUUCCAGGUGUAGCGGUGAAAUGCGUAGAUAUCUGGAGGAGCACCGGUGGCGAAGGCGGCAUCCUGGACCGGCAUUGACGCUGAGGCGCGAAAGCCAGGGGAGCAAACGGG